CUGGGGCCGCCCCCCCUCCGCGCUGACGUCGCCGCUGUCAAUCAGUCUGCGCCCGCUGUCCCCCGGGGAGGGGGGCUCCAGGGUUCCCCGGCGUCGCGGUCCCCAAGAUCCCGAGCCCCACGCGAGCCGCCGGCUCCUCCACCGCGCGGCCCAGUGCCCUCCUCUUGGCCCUCGGGCCCCGCGAGCCGGGUAGGGGCUGGGAGCCCCGCAUGGUUUAGAUUAGAGAGGCGGGAAGCAAGGGCGAGCAGCCCGGCUCUCAGCCGAGGCUCGACAACCAGGAGGGCUCGCCUGGCCCCGCCGUGCCCGAAGACUAGGACGCUCCACGACCGGGUCUGGCCACCCCCUGCCGGCGCCCGCUUCCAGGCAGCGGCUUCUACGGAUCCCCGGCCGCAGAGCCCCGCUCCCCAAGCCCUGCUCCCAGCUGUGCGCGCUGUUCAUUUGGGAGCCCCGGUCCCGAGGUCGCAGGCGCACACGCGCCUCACAGGCCCACGCUCCGCUUCCCUACCAUGCCCACCACGCGGCCUUGCACUUCCAGGCCCUGGGCACGGCCCUUCUGCUCACCCGCCCUCCUUGUCCCGGCCCAGGGGGCCGCGGGCGCUGGACCCGGCCUGGCGCGCCUCGAAGUCGGCCGCGGAGGACGCUGCCUUUCCACUAGCAGACGGACCCAUGCGGACCCCAGCCCGUGCCCCAGCCUCCCCGCCUGUCACAUGCCCAGAAUCCUGGGGCAGAAAUAGGCCUGCCCACCCAUCUGCAAAGACAGCAGAAUCCUCAUCAAUAAGGAUCCCCAGAGUGGUCCCUUAGUGCUUAGCAUGGGCUGCAUCCCUCCCUCCACCAGUGUCCUCAACCAGCCUCUGUCCCUUUCCAGAUUCUGACCUCAAAAUCAGCUUGAAGGGGAGAGGACAGGGAAAUUCUUUUCCUGGAUGGGUCUGUCCCUGUUCUAAUGCUAGGAAAUGGAAAGCCAGCAUCAAUGCCUUCUUUACCACCCUGCACUCAAAGGUGGAAGCAAAAACGCCAACUCAGAAAAGCCAGUCGCUGCUGCUGUCAGGAGCCUGAAAUCCACCUCAACAGUGGGCCGCUGCUCAAGUCCCUAUCACCAUUGCAGUACCAGGUCCCACCACCCUAUCACCAUUCCUCUCAUGGAGUCUCAAACCAGGGAGGGGAAAUAAUAUCUAAGAGGAGUGGAGGAGCAGAAUCCUUCCCCAAACCUGCGGACUCCUGGAAUGGAGAAAGGGAAGGCCCUGGCGUUUCAGGAGAUGCCUGGGGAGUCGUGUUUCCUGUGUUAGGGAGACCUGGAUGACAUGCCUCAGCUUCUGCUCGCAAGCCCCCUCCCAUGACCUCUCCAACAGCCUGUAGGGAAAUCCCUUGCAAAUAAAUAGUAUACAGACUAAGCAACCAACUACUGUGUGGAAUGGUGAACAGGGAGGGCAGUGAAUCACCAGGUACUAUGGGAAGACUAGAGCUAGGCCAGACUCUGGAAAGAAUUUGUUGACAGUCAUUGGAGGAAGUUCAUACUGAGAUCGUAUCGUAUAGUUCUUUAAUAAAACAAACAAACAAAAACAAACAAACUAGACUGGAACCUUCCUAUAAGUGCAAGGCUUUCUGGAGACUGAUGGCAGACAGUCUAAAUUAAUAUCAACAGGUUCAUGAUGACAUGGAGAAAUGAGAUAUGGAAGGG
rnacentral:lncRNA from 10 species